CAGGAAGUAGCUUGGAAGAAGCUCUGACAAGGCAUUAAAGGGGAGCCCGUUGGCUUCCUGCCUCAAAAAAAAACAAGAGUCUUUCAAGUUCAAAGAUUGUCUUUUGUUGACUUUAGUUGAAAGUUUCAACAAAAAGUUGAGUAAACUUCUAAAGUCAAUAUUAAGUAGUCGAGACUCAAUGUUCGAAACUGAACACGAGUUAUUGACAACUCGCUAAUUCUUAACUCUAGCAGUGAGUUGCUAGCAAGCUAGCUGGAGACCAUGUCACGCGAACAUCUCAGUGAUAUUUACCUCAUCUUCUGUCGAAAGUCCUCGGAUCUGUGAAGGAAUUGUGGCCAUAAUAUCCAAACCUUUCACCUCCAGAAGGAAGAAAACUGGUACACGACAAUUGCUGUGCUAACAGUACACUCCCGCGGUUUGUAAUUGGAACUGGCGCUGGCGUUUUUGAUUUCUUCCGUAUGUUUACGCUGGCAGAGCCUGACACGGUGAACGCCAGUAAACUGCGACACGGCGGCGGUCACUCCCCUCUAUUCAUCCUCCCUACUCUUCCCCCGCCUCCUGCUCUAUGGCCUCCUCCUCCUUUUUUACAAUGGAGAAAUGCACAGAAGACUUUCAUCCAUGCAUAAAUUUUUCUAUAACGUGAUUUCUCAUGAGGGCCUGGUGUGAGCUGGAGCCUACACCAGUUGAUUUUGGAGAGAAAGGAUUCACCCCUGGACUCAAUCAAUGACACACACACUGUCUAAGGCAUUAACCUGUGAGACUUACAUGCAAACCACAAGGAAGUGACAUGGGUGAAGUACAUGGUCUCGGAACAGCCGUGACCACAAUGCCGAUGGUUGGCUGAGGUGAAGGUGAGACCGGACUAUCACAAGGCCCGUUGCUGUCAUCCACUGUCUUGAUCAGGCCCUCUCCAGGUAGUGGCGAGUGCAGCUUUUGCUCUUGUUGCUUCCUCUGGAUCUUCCUCUGGAGCUGCUGCUUGGCAUCCACAGUCGGAGACGACAGACUUGCAGUUUGAGGUUGAUAGCAGUGCACAUCGGCGGUGGGAACAAACGCUGAGACCGUCUCUAGGGGCUUAACCUCUGAAGGGAGCGAGGUCUCUGGAUAUUCUUCUAAGUGAUUGCGGAUCCAGUUGAAGGCAUGCAUCUGUUGCGUGCGGCUUGAUGACACGGCGCUCUGGUCACUGACAACAUAUGUGAACCAUUUCAAUCACACACAUUUUUAAAAAGUCAUAACCUCUUAAUUAGCUUACCUUUUAUCACCACUACUGCUGGGACCAGAAGGCAACUUAAGGUAGAGGUAGAGUUUUUCAAUGUCUGUGAACUUUUCAACAUCUUGCUGUAAAAAUAAAAA